UCCCUGGUGGUCCAGUGGUUAAGACUCUGCACUUCCAGUGCAGGGGGCGGAGGUUCAACCCCUGGUCGGGGAA
rnacentral:tRNA from 1 species